AGUGAACGCUGGCGGUAGGCCUAACACAUGCAAGUCGAACGGCAGCACAGUAAGAGCUUGCUCUUACGGGUGGCGAGUGGCGGACGGGCGAGGAAUACAUCGGAAUCUACUUUUUCGUGGGGGAUAACGUAGGGAAACGUACGCUAAUACCGCAUACGACCUACGGGUGAAAGCAGGGGAUCUUCGGACCUUGCGCGAUUGAAUGAGCCGAUGUCGGAUUAGCUAGUUGGCGGGGUAAAGGCCCACCAAGGCGACGAUCCGUAGCUGGUCUGAGAGGAUGGUCAGCCACACUGGAACUGAGACACGCUCCAGACUCCUACGGGACGCAGCAGUGGGGAAUAUUGGACAAUGGGCGCAAGCCUGAUCCAGCCAUACCGCGUGGGUGAAGAAGGCCUUCGGGUUGUAAAGCCCUUUUGUUGGGAAAGAAAAGCAGCAGGUUAAUACCCCGCUGUUCUGACGGUACCCAAAGAAUAAGCACCGGCUAACUUCGUG
rnacentral:rRNA from 1 species